GGAGCUGUGCCUGAAUUAAAGGGCCACUUUGAUAGAGUGUAACAUGAAGGUUAAACUCCUUCCAUCUCCU
rnacentral:tRNA from 1 species